GACAAGUCAACGGUGAAAGCUCGGGGCUCAACCCCGAGUCGGCCGUCGAUGCUGUGGGGCUGGAGCACUGUAGAGGCAGGUGGAAUUCCGAGUGUAGCGGUGGAAUGCGUAGAGAUUCGGAGGAACACCGGUGGCGAAGGCGGCCUGCUGGGCAGUGUCUGACGCUGAGGCGCGACAGCGUGGGGAGCAAACAG
rnacentral:rRNA from 1 species